AGGAAGUUUGUGCUAGAUUGAGGGACAUAUCCUUCAUCUGUCAUGGUUUGGAAUUAGUUGUCUUCUUUGAUAGUCCCAUCCAAGGUCUUCAGUUGCAACCAUGAUAUUAUGAUGUUCAUAGGAGAAUGUGCAUGGAGAUGAUGCCAUUCCCCUUGUUCUUGGAUGAGAGCAUUACAGACAGGGAAAGUAACCCUUCUUCACAUCUCAGGCUUGAUUGUACCUCUCUCUUGUCAGGACAGCAAUGCAUGUAACCAGAGACAAUGUUUGGGGACCGGGGAGAGAGAAGUGUUGCAGUCUCUGGAUUCAAGUUUUCUCACCUUUCCCAAAAUAGAACUCCUCAGGCUAUAUAAAUACCUGAUGAAGGAAGAGUUCCACGUGCUUGGAAAAUCAUCCCUGAACUCUGUGGAGAAAUAUGCCUGCAGCCAUAUUUCUUAAAUGUAUAAGAUUCCCCAUCUCCAGAUUUCUGUCCAGCCUAUGCAUGGAAUCACAAAUGACCUGUCUCCAAAUCAGCCAGAUCUUGGGAAGAAUUUGUUUCAAAAUUGAUCUAAAAUUAAAACAGCAUAGAACCAGAGAACAUCCUGAGUUGGAAGGGACCUGGAAGGGUC
ensembl:lncRNA